GAUGAACGCUGGCGGCGUGCCUAAUACAUGCAAGUCGAGCGAACAGACGAGGAGCUUGCUCCUCUGACGUUAGCGGCGGACGGGUGAGUAACACGUGGAUAACCUACCUAUAAGACUGGGAUAACUUCGGGAAACCGGAGCUAAUACCGGAUAAUAUAUUGAACCGCAUGGUUCAAUAGUGAAAGACGGUUUUGCUGUCACUUAUAGAUGGAUCCGCGCCGCAUUAGCUAGUUGGUAAGGUAACGGCUUACCAAGGCAACGAUGCGUAGCCGACCUGAGGGGGUGAUCGGCCACACUGGAACUGAGACACGGUCCAGACUCCUACGGGAGGCAGCAGUAGGGAAUCUUCCGCAAUGGCGAAAGCCUGACGGAGCAACGCCGCGUGAGUGAUGAAGGUCUUCGGAUCGUAAAACUCUGUUAUUAGGGAAGAACAAAUGUGUAAGUAACUAUGCACGUCUUGACGGUACCUAAUCAGAAAGCCACGGCUAACUACGUG
rnacentral:rRNA from 1 species